CUAACAGAGACUGCUGGUUUUAGCAACUCUGAUAAGGAUCAUUCAAAUUUUGAUAUUGUCGAGGAAAGAACUGAUAAAAUAGAAGAUGAUCUUCAGUCAGAUCAAGUUCCCACCUUGGCUAUUCAUGAAACGACAUCUCUCCAUAUUGCUUCUAAUGGACAGUCCAAUAAAGUAGUGGCAGCUUGUGCAUUGCUUCAUGGCUCCACGCAUUUGCAUGACCAGGAUGAGAGUCAUAUAAAUGGUGAGGUUGCGUC
rnacentral:misc_RNA from 1 species